UGAAGGUCUUCUUCAUGUGUCAGCUGGAAGUACCCUGACUGCUGUGAGGGGGAAACUGCGAUCAUAUACCUCGAUGAAGAACAUGAGCAGAAGGAGGAACCACAGUCCACCAACAUACAUGAGGAAGAAAAGGUAUCACAUUCCCAACGCAUCAGAGAGGGAGGAGAGGAGCCACAUCCCCCCCACGUUAAAGAGGAAGACGAGACGCCACAGACCCAUAAUGUUAAACUGACCCUUCACAUGAAAGGGCAAGCGGAGGACCCACUGAUCAUUCGCAUCAAAAAUGAAGAGGAGGACCCACUGACCCCUCACUUUAAGCAGCAAGAGGACAGGCUGACCCCUCAUAUUAAAAAGGAAGUUGAGGACCCACUGACCCCCUACUUUAAAGAAGAAGAGGAGGACAAGAGGAACACAGCUUCAGUCAGGAGGGAGAGGAUAUUGAAGGACUGGAGGAGUUCCCAGUGACUGUGAAGAGUGAAGAUGAUGAGGUCAAAGGUGAAAGUGAGGAGAGGGGAGGGGCGGAGCCUCCAAGCAGCAGCUCAAGACAACACAUGACAACAGAAGCUGAUGGAGACCACUGUGGAGGAUCACAAGCAGACAAGAUCUUAGCUCCACUAUCAGAUAGUGAGGACACAACCUCACACUCUCCUGACACUGAUGAUGAAGACUCUAAAGAUGAUAAGACAACUGACAACACCCGCUUUAAAUGUUCUCACUGUGACAAAACCUUUAAAUUACCUUAUCUGAAAGUACACAUGAGAACACACACUGGAGAAAAACCUUUUUCUUGUUCAAUCUGCGGUAAAGGUUUUACACAAAAUCAUCAUUUGAAAGAACACAUGAAAAUACACAGUGGAGAAAAACCUUUUUCCUGCUCAGAAUGUGGUAAAUGUUUUACUCACAGUCAGAGUUUCAAAGUUCACAUGAAAAUACACGGUGGAGAAAACCCUUUUUCCUGUUCAAUCUGUAGUAAAGGUUUUGCACAAAGUCACAAUUUGAAAGCACACAUGAGAAUACACACCGGUGAAAAACCUUUUAUCUGUUCAGCCUGUGGUAAACGUUUUGUAGAAAGUAACAAUUUGAAAGUGCACAUGAGAACGCACACUGGGGAAAAACCUUUUAUCUGUUCGGACUGCGGCAAAAGCUUUACGGAAAGUCAACAUUUGAAAAGACACAUGAGAACACACACUGGCGAGAAAUCACAUCCCUGUUCAAUCUGCAACAGAAGCUUUUGUGAACGAUCAAACCUUGUGGCACACAUGAGAACACACACUGGAGAGAAAGUGUUGAGUUGCAGUGUGUGUGGCAAAAGAUUCUCUUAUAAGUACCAGUGUAGGAAACACAAGUGUGCUGGUGAGAACAGCAGCAGCAAAUGAAACUGCAAGAUUUGAAAUAAACUGUCGAGACUUUAAUUUGGACUUUCUAACAACAUCAGCACAUAUAACAUGUGUGACAUUGUUGUUUGUGUAACAAUCUUUUUAACAUGCCUUUACAUUUAUAGAUUAGAUAUUUUAUAUUAGUGCUUAUUUCGGUCAAGUAUAUGCAUUAAUAUGUAACAUUGUGUACUUUUAUUACAAAUUGAACAACACAGCACAACCUGCCUGGUCAGACUUCAAGUAAAGGACAAGUACGUAUUUGUCUUGGAAAAACACUCACCUGUGAUUUGUUGAUUAAAAUGACCAAUCUUUCUGUCAAAAUGGCAGCUCGACUUUUUUUAUAGGCACAAUAAAACCAAGUUACUUUGUUUUUCAAUGUUAAAAUGUUUUAUUUUUUCAAUCACAAGUCUGUAAACCAGUGGUUCGACGUGGUUUUGGUGACAUGAAGUCCUUUUGAAGACACAUUUUCUUAAGUCCUUGGUAACGUUCCAUGUUCUCAAUAAAAUAUCAACAGUU